rnacentral:misc_RNA from 1 species
UCUGCCUUAUCGGCAAGCGGUCUCACUAGAGUGCCCAACUUAAUGCUGGCAACUAAUGACGAGGGUUGCGCUCGUUGCGGGACUUAACCCAACAUCUCACGACACGAGCUGACGACAGCCAUGCAACACCUGUCUCCACGUCCCCGAAGGGAACUCCCGCUUUCACGGGAUAGCGUGGGAUGUCAAGCCUAGGUAAGGUUUUGCGCGUUGCUUCGAAUUAAACCACAUACUCCACCGCUUGUGCGGGCCCCCGUCAAUUUCUUUGAGUUUUAACCUUGCGGCCGUACUUCCCAGGCGGGAUACUUAACACGUUAGCUACGAUACCGAAGGGACAAGAACCCCCGACAUCUAGUAUCCAUCGUUUACGGUGUGGACUAC